GCUGCGAUGUUCAGUGGUUAAAUCGUUGGACUUGAAAUCCAAUGGGGUCUCCCCGCGCAGGUUUGAACCCUGCUCACAGCG